CAGGGACUGUUGCAAACACUUUUGGGCGCCAGCAGAAGUGAAUUUGUGAGCCCCGUGGCAGUGUCUAGGUGGGGGUGCCUGUGACCUCCAAAGCCCCAGAGGGAAUAUUACAGUGCUCUUUUAGCUCUGCCAUCUGCAGAGGGCUUAAGUGUUAGCACCUCAGUUGGCCUUCUGCUUUUUCACGUGAGGUGGCUGCUUUUUGCCAGCAAGAGCAAAGGGCCAGUGUGACAGCUUUUUGUAUCCACACUUGUGGCUCCCAAGCUCUUGUCCAGCACCCAGGAAAAAUGAGGUCGCACAAACAAAUUGAAGGAUGCGUGGAAGUAUGGCAUCAUGAUGUCUACUGCACAUCUAUUCCCAACCCCAUAUUCAGUUGUUUCAUGUAGUCUCUUGAAAUCUAUGGAAACUAGAAAACACUACAAAUAAAGCCUUGAUUUAUUGUUUUGUUGA
rnacentral:lncRNA from 1 species